AACGACGCCUCUCGUUCUAGACCUGGAUUGCUAUACUCUCUGGUGGAUUAACAAUAUGAACUAGUGUAAUUAAUGGUGUCUGUAUUUAUGAAUGAAUGGGGAAAUUACAAGUGAGAUUUAUGUAACCUGGAAAAUAAUGGCGAACCUCCAAUGGAAAAUUUUGGCAAGUGUUUACAUAGCGACCAAGCUCAUCUUCACCCCACUGAUAUGGGUUGAGCAAUAAACUACCCGUGUCCGUUACUCUGUCCGUGGAUGACCCAAAGUGUUCGUGGAUGACUUAGGUUAUCCACAUAAAUCAUCAUUGUGUCUGCUGAUGUACUCAAGUAUCCCUGGAUGACCCUAGCAGGCUGUAUCCCUGAAUCGUGUGGUCAAGUCAGGGCUCUGGACUAUGUGGUACCACCGAGGCAUUUACCACGUUAAUCCCAAGCAGCCCAGCAGACAGUCAAGUUCCUGGUCUUGUCUUGAAACACUAACGUCCAAAGUGGGAGGUGAGGUCGGCCCGAUGGGUGCUGGGGCCACAUUUGGGGAGUCUGUGCUCAAUGACACUCCCAGACGAAGCACCAUCGUCACUAGAGAGAACUGUGAGCUACUGAGGGUGGAACAGAGGGACUUCAGGAAUAUAUGGCAGAGGAACAAGGAAUUUAUGCAAGACAUGAUUUACAGCUCCACCAGGAAGGAAGCAGCCUCUGGAUCAGUCAUGGAGGAGGGACGGGCACUGUGGCGUCGGGUGGGCUCACGACGUCGACGCUCUGCCACCCCCAGAGAACUCCCACGAGAACCCACCUCCAGGGCAGACGAGGGACGUCGUGGCUCCGCUGUUUCACCCACCAGAGCCGCGUCCUCAUCCCCUGUGAGAGCACCCGGGGGACACCAGCAAAGAAGUAGCUCUAUAUCAGUGCCCAGAGCCUCUAGUACCCUCCCUCGGGGCUUUAACGUUACUCGAGGGGCGUCCAUAGAACACAGUGGUGCGUCACACAAGGGAAGCAACUCGUACAUCGGGCCAUCUACAAGCGAUAGUCACAAUAGGAACAAGAGCGAAUCUCCUUCGCGAGAAUCUUCGUCAAGGGGCUCCACACCCAGGGGCACACCCACCAAGUCGUCACCCGUACAAGGGACUCCUACAAGAGACGGACCCCGGCGACCCAGUCUGACAAGGGCCGCCAGUUUCGACAGCCCCUCCGUCAGUCCACGACGCUCUAGCUUACGUAGCGCGGUACUCCGUCUACGGUGUGAGUCUCAAGACACAGCCGAGGAAGAAGACGAGGAGGAAGUAGAAAACGUCCCAGUGGUGAACUACAGAAGACAAGAGAGGGACGAGGAAGAUGACGAUGAGGAUGAAGACGAUGAGGAGGAUGAGGAUGAGGAAGACGAAGACGAGGAAGAAGAUAUGAGUGAGAGUAAGGAACCAGGAGGUGUGAUGAAUGGCAACGGGGGAGUGAAGGGACGAACGAAGGGGCGUCGGAGGGGUGGAAGGAGGGACCGCACCAAGGUGGAACAGCAGCGCUCUCAGGAACUGGACUCCCCGAGCAACGCCGCUGUACCCAUAGUGGAGGCUCCCAGCACCCGUAUCUGCGAGGCGGCGUGGGUGUUAAGGACCCUCUUGUUGGCACGGGCUCCUCACCUGCUGCGUGAUCGUCGACACCGAGGAUGUCCCCAGCCCAGGUGUGGUGUGGGCACGGAGAUGACAGAGUGGUUGCUGUCUCUCACCUCCACCGUACACUCCAGGUCACAAGCAGCGGGCAUGUGGCAGUCACUGUUAGAGGAGGGCGCCAUCUACCACGUGACGGGGGAGCAGCCAUUUAGGGACAAGUACCUAUUUUAUCGAUUCCUGGAGGACUCAGCUGCAGCCCCUGGAGUACCCCCCAUCACGCCAUCCCCAGCUGAGAGACGGGAUGCUGAGGAUAGACUGACACCCAUCCUCGCCUUCCUCCAACAGCGAGCACCAGACUCCAUGCUCAGAAUGAUUCUCAGAAAGCCGAGCCACGAGCGGACCAUCGAGGACCAGGAACUCAUCUACGAGGAGCUUCUCCACCUAAAGGCGCUCUCCCAUCUCUCCAACUCCGUCAAGAGGGAACUGGCCUCCAUCAUCAAGUUCGAGUCCCACUCCAGGGAAGGCACCAUAUUGUUCCAGCAAGGCUCCGAGGGCAAGUCAUGGUACAUCAUUCUUCGUGGGUCCGUCAAUGUAGCUAUCCACGGCAAAGGGGUCGUCAACACCUUACAAGAGGGAGACGAUUUUGGCAAGUUAGCCCUCGUGAAUGAUGCUCCCAGGGCAGCUACCAUUAUUCUACAUGAGGACAACUGCCAUUUCCUGCGUGUGGACAAGGGUGACUUUAACCGCAUCAUGAGAGACGUCGAGGCCAACACGGUUAGACUCAAGGAACACGGUCAGGAUGUCCUCGUACUUGAGAAGAUCUCCUCCAACGCUCACUCACACUCACACUACAAGUACACAGUGAUGGCAGGGACACCGCAGAAAAUGUUGGAACACCUGCUGGAGACGCGGCUGGACGGUCGUCGAGGCAGCACAGGUGUGGAGGUGGCUGAGCUCCCCCUCAGACGGUGCGACAUGGCCACCACCGACCUCUUCCUCGACGACUUCUUCAUCACCCACAUCGUGUUCAUGCCUUACCCACACCUCACCCAGGAGCUCUUAAGACAUUAUCGUAUAGACAGUCAAGGUAACAGCCAAGAUGAGGAGUUCAUUGUGGCGUGUAAGAGGCGAGUCAUCCACUUUGUCCACCGCUGGGUCAUGACCAUCAAGAGACCGGUCUUCUGUAAUGCUGCCGCCACACAGUUCCUGCAGACGCUGCAGGAGGAGGUAGCCAAGGAUGUGGAGGUCUAUGGGGUGGCCCUGCGAGAUGAAGCCACCCUGAUGCUGAGCGUGGCUGAAGCCUUAGAGCGUCACGAGAGAGAUUGUUCCAGCUCGGGGGUCAGUAAGUGGAAGCUUCCGACUAGCGGACGACCCAUCAGUCUCUUCGGGGUGCCAUCGACAGACGACACAUUGGAUCCGCACAGGGGAAUGCGAGCGCAGGACGACAGUAAGGGCAGCGGCAUGACCCCCGACGUUUCUCUGUCUCACCCCUUGAUGUGCUCUUCCGUUAUCUUUCGUGUGUACUGUGCCGACCAUACCUACUGCACUCUCAGGUUCUCUCUGCAGACUACUAGUGAUGUUAUUAAGAGGUCAGCUGCCGAUAAGUUGGGUCUUCGUCAGGAGAACUUACUGCUGGUGGAGUUAAAGUCUACAGGUGAAGUGGUACCUCUACGGGAGAAAGAGGUCUGCCCUCCUACAGGUCUCACCCUCAAUGGCAGACUCUUCAUCUCGAACAAGGACCACCUCGACGCCCUGAUGCCCCUCCCAGAACAGGAAGGUCCGUCAGAGGGCAGCAUCAACCAACUCGAGAUGUACAGUACCCGGGAACUGGCCUACCACAUCACCCUUCACGACUGGGAUCUCUUUAGCGCCAUCCACGAGUAUGAGUUCCUGUAUCAGGUGUUCGGACGUGACCACUUCGGGCAGGUCAUGUGUAACCUGGAUGUAUUCUUACGCCGGUUCAAUGAGAUACAGUACUGGGUGGUGACGGAGAUCUGUCUUGCUAAUGCACUGUCUAAACGUACCCAACUACUCAGGAAGUUCAUCAAAUUGGCAGCUUACUGUAAGGAACACCAAAAUCUGAACGCUUUCUUCGCCAUCGUCAUCGGCUUGAGCAAUGUUGCAAUCUCACGCCUCACACAGACCUGGGAGCGACUGUCAUCAAGGUUUCGUAAGAUGUACACAGAGUUUGAGAUGUUGAUUGACCCAUCGAAGAACCAUCGCGCGUACAGAAUCUACGUGGCCAAACUCCUCCCACCUAUCCUGCCUUUCACACCACUCCUGAUGAAGGAUAUGACUUUUACACAUGAAGGAAACCGCACCCUAAUGGAAGGUUUGGUCAACUUUGAGAAGAUGCACAUGUUGGCACAGACACUGAGGACUAUUCGGUACUGUCGUUCCCGGCCACUAGCCCUCGAGGUUCCGGCAGUGCCUAAAAAUGAAAAUGAAAUCCGAGUGUAUGUGAGGAACCUUCAGGUGAUUGAUAACCAGCGCCGCCUGCUGGUUCUCUCCCAGCGGCACGAGCCUAAGAGACCAUGAGUAGAGAGAAGAAAGACGCAGCCGUCUUUCAGUUGAAAAACAUAGAAGAAUUACAGUGUCCAUCAAGUAAAACAGGAAGAAGUGCCCAUAAUUUUACCAGACUGGAGGAAGACCGUGAGUGUAUCACCAUCUGCAGUGCAGUGAGGCAGGAGGAGUAGCAUAGAAAGGAACCAUUCACUGGAACUUUUUCAUAAUACACAAUAUUUUGGAAACGUCCCUAAGGUUUGGUCAGUGGAUGAGUUACCUGCGAGAUGCCACUUGUUGAUGUUAUAAUGUGUUACUGUGUUUUAAAUAACUAAGAUUCUUAAGUGAGUGUUCUUAGGUUCACUGUUUGUCCAAGUGAUUAAAGUUCCAGCAGCAAAGUAACAGUCCUAUCUGGUUAUUAUGUGUUACUCUCUCACAUCUGCUCACCCAAGGAGUUGAGGAUUGUUAAGCAGAGCAUUGAACUCUGACUCAGUAGGUGAUUUGAAACACAACAAAUUGACAAGUCACUGUGCCUGAACACUAAGACCAAUUCUUCCUCAUCUGGAAACCUCAAUCAACCAUUAUAUGGGACCCUUAGCUCUGACCCUUCACCACUGUCAGUAUAUAGUACUCUUCAACACCUUGUGGAUCUCUCCGGGUAUGAGUGCUAUGUUCACUCUGUUUCUUUACUUGGUGGCUGUAACAUUCUUAACAGUGUUUAUAUAAUAUACUGUAGCAUCUUUACUAUGAGGUGAACAGUGGGUGUGACUAUUAUGUCAUGUUUUUGUUAUUCUUUUAGUAGGUGUUGAUGUUUUCACAAGGUAGAACCAUGGGAUGCGUGAUGGUGUAUCAAAUGUUUAGGAGACUUUUCCAAUCUGUAUUGCUCAAGAUGCUGUACACACAUCUGCUGAGACUGCCUUGGGAGCUCUGUCAUUUUCUCAGUCAGUUAAGCAUGAAAUAAAAUGGUUCAAUGACUUGUCAGCUUUCUGGCUUUUGCAACAAACACCAAUGGGGUUAAAUUCAUUUGGUCUGUUUCAGUAACCCCAGUUUAUAGAACCACCAGUUGUUUGUCAACCAUUUGUACAGUAUAUUGAUAUUUUUAUUUAUUUUUUCCUCAAUUCAGUCUUAAUAGAGUUAUUUGACACAUGCAUCUCAGACCAAGGUACUGUACACAAGCCAUAGUAAAAGAAUUCAUUGCCAUAAAAUCAAGUUCCUAUCCCGCCGUCUGAGCCUGAUAGAUACGGGAAGCGCCUAACAGAACCGAGGACCAAACAAGGCCCAGCAGAAUAACACGUUCAGACAGUGCUGCCUGACCACUCUUCCCCUGAGGCUGUUGAGCAGGACAAUGUUGCCUGUUGACAGAACACAAGACAUCCUGGACUAGAGAGGCACUGCCAAUGGGUUGACGUUAGAGAGCAUCAUCUUAUAAGCUGCUUGUUUUUCUUCCUCAUCCAUAAAAUAGGAUAUUACAUCUUAGUCUUUUGUCUUAUUCAUAAACAAAUUUAAUUUUUCCUGAACUCUUAGCUUGUGUUGAUCUCCAUGUUAACAUUCAGUUAGUCCUACUUUGUCUUAUAGAUUGUACUACAGUAUUUGAAUAUUCCCAGAGAGUAGCAACAAUCACGGUGUGUUAUUGGUAGUACCUGUUGCCGCAGUUUGGAUUUUGUACACACUUUUCUUCUCGUAUUCCUCUGCCAUUUUGCGUGUUGUCUCCUCUUCGCCAACAAGCUACAAAUUCAUCCCCGUUGCCCCUUCAGUGUGAUGACUUAUCAUUUGAGUACGAUAACUUAAACCAUUGAGUAUGAUGACUUAACCCAUCUUAAUCAAUAAACUAAUUUACUGUACUCAUGGGGGGGGGAGGGUGUUGGCAUCGCACUGAAAGGGUUAACUGCGGAGCACAUGUAAAUUGUCUAUAUCAUCUAUACACCUGAAAAAAAAUUGCAGUCAUGAUUUUAGGCUCAGCUAGAAGGCAAACUAUAUUUGUUUACAUUACCGUAUGAUUGUAAAGACCCUCGUUUGUAUCAUAGUUCAGUAUCUAAUUUGAUACAACCGUCCAUCACCUCAUGUUAAUUAACCCCUUGUCUCACUAAAUUACAUAACAGGAUUUAGUGUAAUAUUUUUCCUGUAUUGAAGAUAUUUUGGUGCAGUCCAGUAUCCAGAAAACAACUCCCUGUAAUAUUAACACACAAAGGUUCCAAAUCUAAUAUGAAUAAAAAAAGUUGUGCCACAAGUUUUAAACAGAAGGUAUUCAUGGCAAGGAAAGAUUUGCAAGAAUUAGAUUUAAUAUUUGUUUGGCAAGAAUUUGAAAAUGUUGGGAGCAUUUUUUGCUAUAUUUUCCUCUAGGUUUUUAAGGAUCCAAAUUCACAUUGUUAGGUUAAUCCAUAGAGAUGUGUAUGUUCAGAUUCUUUGUUUAGUGUCACUAUUUCAAACAUGAUGAUCUAAGUAACAUAUGGAAACAAAAGCCUUCAAUAACAAAUUGAAAACAGUCAAAAGCAAUUGUUUUCCCCCAAGUGACUGGAAUAAAUUAUUCAUCGUUUCGCCUGCAGUAGAUUAUUCCAUUCUUGACCUUGGUCCGUCCUCCUUCAUGGGUGUCGUCAGUGUGUGAGGCAUUGUUCCCUCCAGUUUUCAGAAACUGUCCACUGUUCUAAAGCCCGUCCUUACCUUAGUGCUAGAGCCAGAGCUACCAUAUAUACAUAAGACCCCGUCCUUCAUCUUGAAGCAAUACUACUGUACUUUACUGUACAGGCACUCCCCGAGUUAUGAAAAGUUGACUUAUGAACACCGUCACUUACGAAUGGGAUCCCAAUACAUUCAUCACAAUAAUCUGAAACUAAAAUCCUGUUUUUUAAAUUUAUUUCAUUAUUCUAUAUUGUUUAACAUCACUUUAUUUACAUUUGUUAUGUAUGGGAUAUUAAUAUAUAGGCAGGGUUGUGCUUUAACUUAACCUAUCCUAAGGAAUUAGCACUGUUCUGACGUAUGAAUAUUUAGACUUACAAACAGGAUCCAUGAACAUAACCUGUUGGUAACUCGGGGACUGCCUGUAUAUGACUAUCGUUUCUUUUCUCCUUCAGUGUGUGAAAUUACAUAUCCCUUAGGGGGAUGAAGGUUUGUUCUCACAGUUCGUAAACACAAAUCACUUAAUUAUAGUGUAAGUAUAUGAGCAUAUUUAGUGUUAAUGCUUGUUCAAAAACUGAUAAAUUAUUUGUUGUUAGGAAAAUUAAGCUGACAACUUUCACUGGCCAAGUUAUAUAUGUUUUUUUUUUAUUAUUAUUGUUGUACUGCCUUAAAAGUUAGGUAAAUCCAUGUCAGGACGCACAAACACACACUUUUGGCUUUGCCUGAAGUCUGUAAUUGUGUUGAGAGAAUUGUAAUACCUUUUGUCUGUAGUGUAGUAAGAAUUUACUCAAGCCAGAAAUAUAAGACAAGGCUUUUAAGGUAAUAUUAUAAAGUGAAGGCCAAACAUUAUCCCUCCUCUCUCUGUCCAUCUCACAAUGAUAUACGUAGUAUAUUUUAACUCAUCUACACAAGACAUACAAAUUAUUAAAGAAUUACUGUAACAAUAUUUCUCCCUAUAUUCCCUUAUUGUACAUUUAUUUUAUUUUGAUUCAGUUUCCAAGGACUAAUAUUAAUCUGAUAGUGUAAACAUUGACAAUAAACUUAACAACAUCUUAAAGAAACACAGAUGUUAUGUUUAUUUUUCUUUAUGAUAUUCUGCAGAAAAAAAUGUUAAGUUGAAGUCAUGACGGAAAAUAUUCACACUUUAUAUACUUGAUGAGACUGUAUACAGUAGUUCCAUAACUAUAUUUUAUAAGGAGAAUUAAUGUUAAUUCUUUUACCUUGGAAGAUUACAGCCAGUAAAUAACCUUCAAAGAUUAUAUGCAGAACUUCACCCCAAUAAUCAAUUAACUCCCGUACGUUUUGUUUUAAAAAUAUAUGAAAUAGAAUGCAUUACAAUUCUCAAGUAUAGUUUAUAAUCAAUUUAUGGUCACUUAUGUCAGCUCUAUACAACAUUGAAAAAUAUUAAAACAGUGGUAAUCAUAUAUAUCUUGAGUCGUUAGUGAUGUAUUGGUACUGUAUAUGCAAAUGGUGAGCAGCAAUAUGAGCUGUGCCUGACCCUAUAAAUCAUAAUGACUGAAUGUAUUAUGUUAAAUGUCCAAAUAUAUACAGUAUAUAUAAACAUAAUAAUAGAACAACAUUUUGAAUGGCUUUUUGUCUCUACUAUUGUAAGAUAAUAAAAAAAAUUUGGUGUUGGUAUACAGAGUCGUUGAAAAAGAAUACAUAUAUUUUAAGUGUUUACACUGUAUUAUAUGAGAAGCUGGGUAUUGUUUUUCAAGGACCCUCUGUAUACAGUAAAGAUCGUAUGUAUAUCCGCUACAGAAAGUAUCUAUAAGGUGGGGUCUGAGGGAUGUCAAAAUGAACACUGAUUCCUGUUGUCUCGGUAGUGUUGUCAAAAUCCUUCGCCCGUUGUGUCAUAUUGUCUAGCCCUAAAAAUCUGCAGAUACUUUUUGCAGUGAGUGUACCUCUUACUUAUACCAGAAUUUUGAAUACAUAUUUCUUUUCACUUUUAAAAAUCUAUACUGUAUUGUAAGGUGGGAUAUUUGUCUACUCUCUUAUUGAAGUUCAUGUUUACUGUAUAUUUUCUUAUCUUCACUUUCUCUUUCUCUCUUUUUCUAUGCAUCUGUUCUUUAUUUACCUCAUUUCUUGUACAGUAUUUCACUCAUCUUCACACUGUUAUCUUCCACCUCUCUCUUAAGGUCUAUAUUUACUGCAUAUUAUCCCUUUCUUUCUCUUUUAUUGCCAUAUAUCUUUAUUUUCCUCAAACAUAGCCUAUAUUUCACUUGUCUUUCACACUACUGUCAUCUUGCUCAAAUUAUGCCAAGAAUAGAAUCAUAUCAAUGUCAUGUAUAGCUGUGUAUAUAUGUGCGUCAUCGUGUGUGUGUGUGUGUGUGUGUAUGUGUCCUUGAGAAAGAAUCUUUUUCUUUCCCAUUUCUUUCACUUUUUGAUGUUGAUGUUUUAAGAUAUUGUAAAGACACAUAUGUUUAAAUCUUAAUAUAGAGUACCCAGAUGAAUAUUUCUAUUUCCAUUUUUGCAGUCUUCACAAUAAAAAAGGUAACUUCUUU
rnacentral:misc_RNA from 1 species